GAUGAACGCUGGCGGCGUGCCUAAUACAUGCAAGUCGAGCGAACGGACGAGAAGCUUGCUUCUCUGAUGUUAGCGGCGGACGGGUGAGUAACACGUGGAUAACCUACCUAUAAGACUGGGAUAACUUCGGGAAACCGGAGCUAAUACCGGAUAAUAUUUUGAACCGCAUGGUUCAAAAGUGAAAGACGGUCUUGCUGUCACUUAUAGAUGGAUCCGCGCUGCAUUAGCUAGUUGGUAAGGUAACGGCUUACCAAGGCAACGAUGCAUAGCCGACCUGAGAGGGUGAUCGGCCACACUGGAACUGAGACACGGUCCAGACUCCUACGGGAGGCAGCAGUAGGGAAUCUUCCGCAAUGGGCGAAAGCCUGACGGAGCAACGCCGCGUGAGUGAUGAAGGUCUUCGGAUCGUAAAACUCUGUUAUUAGGGAAGAACAUAUGUGUAAGUAACUGUGCACAUCUUGACGGUACCUAAUCAGAAAGCCACGGCUAACUACGUGCCAGCAGCCGCGGUAAUACGUAGGUGGCAAGCGUUAUCCGGAAUUAUUGGGCGUAAAGCGCGCGUAGGCGGUUUUUUAAGUCUGAUGUGAAAGCCCACGGCCCAACCGUGGAGGGUCAUUGGAAACUGGAAAACUUGAGUGCAGAAGAGGAAAGUGGAAUUCCAUGUGUAGCGGUGAAAUGCGCAGAGAUAUGGAGGAACACCAGUGGCGAAGGCGACUUUCUGGUCUGUAACUGACGCUGAUGUGCGAAAGCGUGGGGAUCAAACAGGAUUAGAUACCCUGGUAGUCCACGCCGUAAACGAUGAGUGCUAAGUGUUAGGGGGUUUCCGCCCCUUAGUGCUGCAGCUAACGCAUUAAGCACUCCGCCUGGGGAGUACGACCGCAAGGUUGAAACUCAAAGGAAUUGACGGGGACCCGCACAAGCGGUGGAGCAUGUGGUUUAAUUCGAAGCAACGCGAAGAACCUUACCAAAUCUUGACAUCCUUUGACAACUCUAGAGAUAGAGCUUUCCCCUUCGGGGGACAAAGUGACAGGUGGUGCAUGGUUGUCGUCAGCUCGUGUCGUGAGAUGUUGGGUUAAGUCCCGCAACGAGCGCAACCCUUAAGCUUAGUUGCCAUCAUUAAGUUGGGCACUCUAAGUUGACUGCCGGUGACAAACCGGAGGAAGGUGGGGAUGACGUCAAAUCAUCAUGCCCCUUAUGAUUUGGGCUACACACGUGCUACAAUGGACAAUACAAAGGGCAGCGAAACCGUGAGGUCAAGCAAAUCCCAUAAAGUUGUUCUCAGUUCGGAUUGUAGUCUGCAACUCGACUACAUGAAGCUGGAAUCGCUAGUAAUCGUAGAUCAGCAUGCUACGGUGAAUACGUUCCCGGGUCU
rnacentral:rRNA from 1 species